rnacentral:rRNA from 1 species
UAACACGUGGGUAACCUACCUAUAAGACUGGAAUAACUCCGGGAAACCGGGGCUAAUGCCGGAUAACAUUUAGAACCGCAUGGUUCUAAAGUGAAAGAUGGUUUUGCUAUCACUUAUAGAUGGACCCGCGCCGUAUUAGCUAGUUGGUAAGGUAAUGGCUUACCAAGGCAACGAUACGUAGCCGACCUGAGAGGGUGAUCGGCCACACUGGAACUGAGACACGGUCCAGACUCCUACGGGAGGCAGCAGUAGGGAAUCUUCCGCAAUGGGCGAAAGCCUGACGGAGCAACGCCGCGUGAGUGAUGAAGGGUUUCGGCUCGUAAAACUCUGUUAUUAGGGAAGAACAAACGUGUAAGUAACUGUGCACGUCUUGACGGUACCUAAUCAGAAAGCCACGGCUAACUACGUGCCAGCAGCCGCGGUAAUACGUAGGUGGCAAGCGUUAUCCGGAAUUAUUGGGCGUAAAGCGCGCGUAGGCGGUUUCUUAAGUCUGAUGUGAAAGCCCACGGCUCAACCGUGGAGGGUCAUUGGAAACUGGGAGACUUGAGUGCAGAAGAGGAAAGUGGAAUUCCAUGUGUAGCGGUGAAAUGCGCAGAGAUAUGGAGGAACACCAGUGGGCGAAGGCGACUUUCUGGUCUGUAACUGACGCUGAUGUGCGAAAGCGUGGGGAUCAAACAGGAUUAGAUACCCUGAUAGUCCACGCCCGUAAACGAUG